UGCAUAUCAUUCUAGAUAUAUUCGGACAUCUUCGUAGAAGAUAGAAGGAAUAACAUUGACAUAUUGUAUUCAGUUUUGAAUGUUUAUACAACAUUCAAACCUUUGGUCCUAUUGAAAACUAGGUAAAAGAGCAGCCCUGAAAAUUUUGAGGUCGGUGGUUAAAUUCCAAUAAGGCCCACCAUUUCAUUAUUGUACAUUGAAAACUAGAUAAGUAAGUAAAAUAUAGAUUUUACCAAGCAAAACCGAGUGAAUUAGAGUUUUAAAGCUUGAAUUCAUAAGAAAUAAUCGCUAGUGUUCGAAAGAACACUCACAAGAUUAAUAACGCGUUUCCUGUAGGAUGGAAACAUAGAUUAAGUUAUUAAGGCGCACGGUGAUGCGCCAGU
rnacentral:misc_RNA from 1 species